rnacentral:rRNA from 1 species
UACGAAGGGGGCUAGCGUUGCUCGGAAUUACUGGGCGUAAAGCGCACGUAGGCGGCUUCUUAAGUCGGUGGUGAAAUCCUGGAGCUCAACUCCAGAACUGCCUUCGAUACUGGGAAGCUCGAGUCCGGGAGAGGUGAGUGGAACUGCGAGUGUAGAGGUGAAGUUCGUAGAUAUUCGCAAGAACACCAGUGGCGAAGGCGGCUCACUGGCCCGGUACUGACGCUGAGGUGCGAAAGCGUGGGGAGCAAACAGG